rnacentral:rRNA from 1 species
AACGAACGCUGGCGGCAUGCCUAACACAUGCAAGUCGAACGAUACCUUCGGGUCUAGUGGCGCACGGGUGCGUAACGCGUGGGAACCUUCCCUUAGGUUCGGAAUAACUCCCCGAAAGGGGUGCUAAUACCGGAUAAUUUCUUCGGACCAAAGAUUUAUCUCCUUUGGAUGGGCCCGCUUUGGAUUAGCUAGUUGGUAGGGUAAAAGCCUACCAAGGAGAUGAUCCAUAGCUGGUCUGGGAGGAUGAUCAGCAACACUGGGACUGAGACACGGCGCAGACUCCUACGGGAGGCAGCAGUGGGGAAUAUUGGACAAUGGGCGAAAGACUGAGCCAGCAAGGCCGCGUGAGUGAGGAAGGACUGAGGGUUGUAAAGCUCUGUUAACAGGGAAGAUAAUGACAGUACCGGGAGAAUAAGCUCCGGCUAACUCCGUG